CCGAGGGUUUCCAGGCCAGCACCAGGCCUGCCCCUGGCUGCCAUUCUCACUCAGUGCUUCUGUCUUGAUAGGCAAGGCAGGCUCCCCCACCUACCGGGAGCCCACAGCCCAAAUGAUGGGAACAAGGUGAGGAGGUAAAGAGACUUGCCUAGAACCAGCAUCCAUCAAGCCUAGGAGUGGUCCUCCAGUCCCUGGCGCACUCUGCUCCUGCUGGUGGCCCUGUGAGGAAGAGAAGUGGGACUGAAGAGAGAAAUCAUGGAGAACUGCCACCACUGCCAUGUGACAGCCUUCCACGAAGCUGAAAGCUUUCAGUGACCAGAAACUGGGGUUCUCAGUAUUCAGAACACAUUUUACUUGUAUCAUGAAUGCUCCUUGUUUAAUAAUAGUGGUGACUUCUGAAGAACAUUCUGGAAUACAUUUUAUCAUCCUGAAAAUCUUAACUGAGGAAACCUCCAACCUAUCACAUAUGGCCCAAGAGGAGACUGGUUUCUACCAAGGUGAUAAAUACUUCAGGGGGGUCUCAAAACCAUGUCUUGGCCAAGGACUUUGCACCCCAGAGCGCUGUGGCCCUGUGAACAAUGCAGGAUGGCGUGGGGACCAACAGCCAUGCUGUUCUCUCCCUGGGACCCGGGCCGCAUUCUUCCCUCUGCUUAGCGAGUUCGGGAAAACCGAGGCCUUGCCAGCAGCCAGGUGGAUGGGGAGGUGCCUGGCCUAUGCUCCUGAGGUAACACUCGUCAAGCACCUAAGUGGCAAGAGAGAAUGGCCUGCCCUGGAGAAAGCUGCUAAGAGCCAGCAAAGAGUCACAAUUCCAGGCCUGGCCACGACGCAGCACGUUGAGAACAUGCUGCAGCUGAGGAGGCAUUGGGGGCUCCCAGUUCAGGUGCGGCAGCUCUGGCUUUCCUCUCAGGCUUUAAAUGCACGUGGAGCUCGAACUUCCCUAGGAAAGGUGCUGCCACCUUUCUUUCCCUUCCCUGGGGAGGUUUGAGUUCUGGGAUAAUGUUUCCUCCUGUUUUGAGAUUUUCCUAUAGAAUUGCCCACGUGAGAGCCUCACUUUUUUUCCCCUGUGAAAUUCUCAGAAAACCUCUGGGAGGAGAGAACAUUUUUUUUAAAGGAGCCUGAGAAAUCUCCUCCCCUAGUUCUAGAGACCCUCCCUCCCACCUGGAUCUGGAAGCCAACAGAUUCCUGUGCUCACAACCAUCACUGCACAUGGCAGCUGUGAGCCCUCCCGGGAGGGCGCGGGAGGUCCUGAUCCCCGCAUCGCCAGCUUCCUCUGUGAUCUUCCCUAAGCCCCUCAAUCCUUCUGCUCUGCCAUGUGCAAACCAAAUGCUCCCAGUGUCACCCUGGCUUCUCCAUGGCAGAGAAGCAGAAUCCAAGCAGGAAGCUGUUUUGGGAUUAAGGGCUACAGGACCCUUCUUCCUGACAGUGCGUCACAGAUUUCUUCAGAAAUGCCUUACCAUCAUGUGAGUAAGGACCCAUCCAGGGUAAUCAACGCACCUGCUGGUGCGUCCAGGAGUUUCCUGGUUGUAGCACUGAGUUCUGCCUCCUGAAACAACCCAGACAGUUGGUCACCCUGUCUGUACUCCCCUUAGGUGUUAAAAAGUGAAUAGCUCCUGGCUGGUGGUGGGUCCUCCACCCCUCAUACCUUCUCCCCCCCAAACAAGACUGGGGGAGGCUCCUCCAACAGGGGUGAAAGAAAGGUAGAAAAGACCCAUUUGAGUUUGAGAAGAGGAGAGAGGAAGCUUCAAGAUGUCAGAGCCUGCCUCUCCCAACUUCAGGCUUAACUGGGCUGGGAUUUCUGGCCUGGCCCAGAGAACCUAGCCCCUCAGCUGGGGCCCACUCUUGGCUCCUGUCUUGUUGGCUUCCACGUGGGGCUGGGUGGCAGGAAGGAACAGGUGUGGAGAUGCCCUGUUAAAUGCCUCCUCACGGUCACAUACCUGUUAAACCUUUCUUCGGGCGCACUGCUCUCGCAGGCUUUCUCUGGCAGGGCGGCAGGGCGUGUGCCCACCCACAUGCUCCCCCAGACAGUACCUUCACCUGCUCCUGUGAUGCUGGGCCCACGCACUCACAAACGGUACCCAGAGCUUAAGCAAAACACCCACUUGAGCUAUGCAAAUAGGUGCACGUGCACGCGCGCGCGCGCGCACAC